rnacentral:rRNA from 1 species
CGGGGGGGCAAGCGUUGGUUCGGAAUUACUGGGCGUAAAGGGCUCGUAGGCGGCCAACUAAGUCAAACGUGAAAUCCCUCGGCUUAACCGGGGAACUGCGCUUGAUACUGGAUGGCUUGAGAUUGGGAGAGGGAUGCGGAAUUCCAGGUGUAGCGGUGAAAUGCGUAGAUAUCUGGAGGAACACCGGUGGCGAAGGCGGCAUCCUGGACCAACACUGACGCUGAGUGAGCGAAAGCCAGGGGAGCAAACGGGAUUAGAUACCCCGGUAGUCCUGGCCCUAAACGAUGAAUGCUUGGUGUGGCGGGUAUCGAUCCCUGCCGUGUCGAAGCUAACGCAUUAAGCAUUCCGCCUGGGGAGUACGGUCGCAAGGCUG